GACCUCGUGGCGCAACGGUAGCGCGUCUGACUCCAGAUCAGAAGGUUGCGUGUUCAAGUCACGCCAAGGUCA